CAAACAAAAAUGCAUCUUCACCUCUAUGUGUUUCUUACCACCUUUUGUGUUUCUUGUCCUCUCUUUUUGAAUGUCUUGUCCCCUUUAGAGUAUAGUAUCCCCCUUUUGUCUUGAACUCCUCUUUAGUAUAUAUUAUCCUGCCAUUUUUACCUUUGUUGUCUUUUACUUCCCUCUAGCCUCUUUUGUGUGUAUCUUACUUUGC